rnacentral:rRNA from 1 species
UACGUAGGGUGCAAGCGUUGUCCGGAAUUAUUGGGCGUAAAGAGCUCGUAGGCGGUUUGUCGCGUCUGCUGUGAAAACCCGCGGCUUAACUGCGGGCUUGCGGUUGAUACGGGCGGGCUAGAGUUCGGUAGGGGAGACUGGAAUUCCUGGUGUAGCGGUGAAAUGCGCAGAUAUCAGGAGGAACACCGGUGGCGAAGGCGGGUCUCUGGGCCGAUACUGACGCUGAGGAGCGAAAGCGUGGGGAGCGAACAGG